GUUUAAGCUGGCCUCCUACCCACCGACUAUGGACCAGGUUGGAGACCCCGUUCAAGAGUUACCCUGCCCAGCCACCAUUAGCAACUUUCCCUCAUGGCCCUGGUCUGGCACUUUCCCUUCUCUGGAAUGGAACCGAACGCUAGCUCCCUGGCGGCCGUUCGCAUGAACAAACCCACAAAUGGUCCUCAGUGGGACUUAGCCACGGCCGCUAUGGAACUUUUGCUGUAAGCACUGUCUUUUCAGAGAAAAGGACCAGGUUGGAGACCCCAUUCGAGAGUUACCCUGCCCAGCCG